CGUAAGCAAGGCCACGUUCUCUGGAAAGAUGUUGCAAGAUGGAAUCAUAGAAUUGUUAAGGUUGGACAAGACCUCUAAGACGGAGUCCGACCAUCAGCCCAGCACUGCCCUGCUCACCCUGAAACCACAUCCCCAGAACCACUGGGAGCCUGGAAGUGGCAGCACGGAGCUCAGUGCCCCCAGGAGCUGCGCCAGCCCGUGGGACCUUAACGCAGGCAGAAAAACAUCCCCACCGGAGUUCCAACGAGCCGGGAGCAAAGCCUGUCCUCGGUGCAAAGCUGAGCCCCCCGUUCCUCAUCUGCACAGCACCCGGUGCCGUCUGACUCGUCCCGGCCACCCAGGGAGCAGAGGGCUGCGCUGUCCCCGUGUCACCUGCCAGCUCCCUCCCAAAGGCCACAUCUGAUCCCGCAGCCGCGCGUGUGGCCGAGUGCCCUCUGACCUGUGCUCAGCAAUCCUCAGGUUUCCCCCCGCACAGGAGCCUCGGCUGGGGUGGGUGGCUCUGCCUCAGCCCCGUCGCUGUAUGGUGCCCCUGGGUGGGGGCACAGCUCCAGCACCCCACCAUCCCUCCCUGCUCGGGAGAAGGGGACAAAGCAGCGAGACAGCAAGGCAAGGAUUAAGGACACCCCAAAUCAGCCCAUCUCCAUCCUAAAGCCUUCAUCUCUCCCUCCUCUACGCCACUCAAGUAGGCUCCUACAGGAGGUGACAUCCCGAGGAAAUUCCGUGAUUCUCUGCUGGAUUCUCACAGCUGGAGACACCUCUGUGCACUGUCCCGUGACGAUGCCAGCAGCGAACAGCGUGAGCAUCCACAGCUUGCAGCGAUGGCAGCGUUGGGCUCUCACACCCUGUGACCCCAUUUCCCCAGGGAGGGACAUGGAACUGCCAGAGCCAACAGGCCUAAAAAGAGACAAACUGAGAUUAAAAUCCGCCAUCAGGAGGGAAAGUCUCCCCGGGAGAAAAUAAGCUUUGGACGGGUAGAAAGAGCUACAGGACACGUGGAUGUGCUGGCAGCA